rnacentral:rRNA from 1 species
GACGAACGCUGGCGGCGUGCUUAACACAUGCAAGUCGAACGGAAAGGCCUGCUUUCCCUUGUGGAUUGCGGGUGCUCGAGUGGCGAACGGGUGAGUAACACGUGAGUGAUCUGCCCCCAACUUGGGUAUAAGCCUGGGAAACUGGGUCUAAUUCCCGAUAGGACUGCAGGGUGGUGCCUGUGGUGGAAAACGAUUUUCUAGUGGUUGGGGAUGAGCUCGCGGCCUAUCAGCUUGUUGGUGGGGUAAUGGCCUACCAAGGCGGCGACGGGUAGCCGGCCUGGGAGGGUGGACGGCCACAUUGGGACUGAGAGACGGCCCAGACGCCUACGGGAGGCAGCAGUGGGGAAUAUUGCACAAGGGGCGGAAGCCUGAUGCAGCGACGCCGCGUGGGGGAUGACGGCCUUCGGGUUGUAAACUCCUUUCGACCGCGAGGAAGCCACCUGGUUGGAAGGGUGGUGACGGUAGUGGUAGAAGAAGCACCGGCUAACUACGUG